GACGAACGCUGGCGGCGUGCUUAACACAUGCAAGUCGAACGGAAAGGCCUCUUUCGGGGGGUACUCGAGUGGCGAACGGGUGAGUAACACGUGAGUAACCUGCCCUUGACUUUGGGAUAACUUCAGGAAACUGGGGCUAAUACCGGAUAGGAGCUCCUGCUGCAUGGUGGGGGUUGGAAAGUUUCGGCGGUUGGGGAUGGAUUCGCGGCUUAUCAGCUUGUUGGUGGGGUAGUGGCUUACCAAGGCUUUGACGGGUAGCCGGCCUGAGAGGGUGACCGGCCACAGUGGGACUGAGAUACGGCCCAGACUCCUACGGGAGGCAGCAGGGGGGAAGAUUGCACAAGGGGUGGAGGCCUGAUGCAGCAACGCCGUGGGCGGGAGGACGGCCUUCGGGUUGUAAACCGCUUUCGCUCAUGACGAAGCUUUGUGUGACGGUAGUGGGUAAAGAAGCACCGGCUAACUACGUG
rnacentral:rRNA from 1 species